AAAGAUGCAUUUACACAUGCCAAA
rnacentral:siRNA from 1 species